CCAUAUUUAUAAGUGAGAUUGUAUAGUUCUUUUUCCUCCCGUAUUGUUUGUGAGCUCCUAAUCAGAAUUAUGCUCUCCUUGGUGAUUAAAUCGGGAAACUUGUCAUCAUUUUCUGUGCUCUGGAACAGAAGAAUAAUCUGUUUCUGGAAGUUUGGCAGCACCUGACUGCAGACUGCUGGUGUUUUGUCUCGUUUGUGUCUUGCAGUGCUGAGGAUUGAGUCCAGAGCCUAGGCCAAGUUAGUGUUUAUUGGCCAGACGUGCUCAGUGAUCGCUUAUUUUAAUCUUUUGGAAGAACCAGCUUUGGGAGUUCUUGUACCGGGGAUUGAACUGAGGACCUUGUGCUUGCGAGGGAGGCAGCUGCACCCCUGAGCUAAUUCCCUGGCCCGAGUUGGUUUUGUUUCAUCCUUGCUCCCUGAAAUCUGACUCAAGGUCCUGCCGUGGUAUCUCUCCCUGGGGUCCGUGUGUAUAACUACAGAGAAUGUCCUUCAGAAUCGUGAUCAUAAAGCCCAUUGGAGGAGAGCCAGCUUGAGGGAAGUAGAGAGUCCUGGGGUGUUUUGUUGGUUGGUUGGUUGGUUGGUUGGUUGGUUUGUAUUUGGUACCGGCAAUCGAACUCGGGGCCUUGAGCUUGCAAGGCAAGCGCUGGAGCCACUGAGCUAAAUCCCCGGCCCUGGAGAAUCCGGGUUUUUUUCAUGACCUUGAGUUUUGGGUGUCUUGGGUGCAGGCUAGAGAUGUUGUUGGACAUGGUAUAGAGUGAGAGGAGAGGCUUAGGGUGGGAUGUAAAUCCCUGGUUUUCCCGCAGUUUACCUAGGGGCACACAGGUAUGUAUGUAUGUAGGU
rnacentral:lncRNA from 1 species